CACGCCCUAAACGAUGUUCUCUCGCUAUAUUGAGUAUCGACCCUCAAUGUGGCUUAGCUAACGCGGUAAGAGAACCGCCUGGGAAGUACGAUCGCAAGAUUAAAACUCAAAGGAAUAGACGGGGAGACGCACAAGCAGUGGAUUAUGUGGUUUAAUUCGAUGGUAAACGAAGAACCUCACCAGGGUUUGAAACUCACACGAAAGGCCUAGAAAUAGGUCCCUCGCAAGACGUGUGGACAGGUGA
rnacentral:rRNA from 1 species